AACGAACGCUGGCGGCAUGCCUAACACAUGCAAGUCGAACGAGACCUUCGGGUCUCGUGGCGCACGGGUGCGUAACGCGUGGGAACCUGCCCUUAGGUUCGGAAUAACUCCCCGAAAGGGGUGCUAAUACCGGAUAAUGUCUUCGGACCAAAGAUUUAUCGCCUUUGGAUGGGCCCGCGUUGGAUUAGCUAGUUGGUAGGGUAAAAGCCUACCAAGGCGACGAUCCAUAGCUGGUCUGAGAGGAUGAUCAGCCACACUGGGACUGAGACACGGCCCAGACUCCUACGGGAGGCAGCAGUGGGGAAUAUUGGACAAUGGGCGAAAGCCUGAUCCAGCAAUGCCGCGUGAGUGAUGAAGGCCUUAGGGUUGUAAAGCUCUUUUACCCGGGAUGAUAAUGACAGUACCGGGAGAAUAAGCUCCGUCUAACUACGUG
rnacentral:rRNA from 1 species